rnacentral:rRNA from 1 species
GACGAACGCUGGCGGCGUGCUUAACACAUGCAAGUCGAACGAUGAAGCUGGAGCUUGCUCCGGUGGAUUAGUGGCGAACGGGUGAGUAACACGUGAGCAAUCUGCCCUUCACUCUGGGAUAACUGCGGGAAACUGUAGCUAAUACCGGAUACGAGACCUUGGGGCAUCCCAGGGUCUGGAAGGAAUUUCGGUGAAGGAUGAGCUCGCGGCCUAUCAGCUAGUUGGUGAGGUAAUGGCUCACCAAGGCGACGACGGGUAGCCGGCCUGAGAGGGUGACCGGCCACACUGGGACUGAGACACGGCCCAGACUCCUACGGGAGGCAGCAGUGGGGAAUAUUGCACAAUGGGCGAAAGCCUGAUGCAGCAACGCCGCGUGAGGGAUGAAGGCCUUCGGGUUGUAAAUCUCUUUUAGUAGGGAAGAAGCGCAAGUGACGGUACCUACAGAAAAAGCACCGGCUAACUACGUGCCAGCCGCCGCGGUAA